rnacentral:rRNA from 1 species
CAAGAGCGUAUAUUAAAGUUGCUGUGGUUAAAAAGCUCGUAGUUGGAUUUCAGUCUAGGAAGGUUAACUCGCCGAAAGGUUGUACGUUGAUUUUCCUCAGACUUCGUCAGAAGCUCGUGCUGCACUUAACUGUGUGGUACGAUGUUCUGACCUUUUACCUUGAGGAAAGUAGAGUGUUUCAGGCAGGCUACCCAGCUUGAAUACAUUAGCAUGGAAUAAUGAAAUGGAUCUCGGUUCGAUUUCGUUGGUUCUAGAGCUGAGGUGAUGAUCAAUAGGAACAGGCGAAGGUAUUCGUACUUGAGAGUGAGGAGUGAAAUCCGAUGAUCUCUUAAAGACGAUCCGAGGCGAAAGCAUUUGUCAAGGAUGUUUUCAUUGA